rnacentral:rRNA from 1 species
UACGUAGGGUGCAAGCGUUAAUCGGAAUUACUGGGCGUAAAGCGUGCGCAGGCGGUUGUGCAAGACAGAUGUGAAAUCCCCCGGGCUCAACCUGGGAAUUGCAUUUGUGACUGCACGGCUAGAGUGUGUCAGAGGGGGGUAGAAUUCCACGUGUAGCAGUGAAAUGCGUAGAGAUGUGGAGGAAUACCGAUGGCGAAGGCAGCCCCCUGGGAUAACACUGACGCUCAUGCACGAAAAGCGUGGGGGAGCAA